rnacentral:rRNA from 1 species
AACGAACGCUGGCGGCAGGCUUAACACAUGCAAGUCGAGCGCCCCGCAAGGGGAGCGGCAGACGGAUGAGUAACGCGUGGGAAUCUACCCAUCUCUACGGAAUAACGCAUGGAAACGUGUGCUAUUACCGUAUACGUCCUUCGGGAGAAAGAUUUAUCGGAGAUGGAUGAGCCCGCGUUGGAUUAGCUAGUUGGUGGGGUAAAGGCCUACCAAGGCGACGAUCCAUAGCUGGUCUGAGAGGAUGAUCAGCCACACUGGGACUGAGACACGGCCCAGACUCCUACGGGAGGCAGCAGUGGGGAAUAUUGGACAAUGGGCGCAAGCCUGAUCCAGCCAUGCCGCGUGAGUGAUGAAGGCCCUAGGGUUGUAAAGCUCUUUCACCGGUGAAGAUAAUGACGGCAACCGGAGAAGAAGCCCCGGCUAACUUCGUGCCAGCCGCCGCCGUAAAAC